UGCCCACCUCGGCCUCCCAAAAUGCUGGAAUUACAGGCAUGAGCCACUGCGCCCCGCCCAAUUAAUAUUUAAAAGUCUAAGUAAAUGAAAGGGGAACAACAUGGCUCAAUGGAGAAAAUGUCUAAUUUAUGUAAUAUCAUUGUUAUAUUGUACAAAAUGGAUGCACCUUAGGUGAUUUAAGCAUUCUGAAAAGACCAGGCUUUCUAGGAUACUGCUACAUUUUAGGAGAUUAGAAAUCAAUGGAAUUGGCACAGUCUUUGUCUGUUGAGUGGGUUUUCAUGGGUGUUCAUUGUACAUCUUUAAAAUGAGUAAAUGAUUAUAUACAUGAAUAAAAUCAAACAAGAACAAGCCUAUACUAACGACGAAGAACCAAAAUUUAGGAUUAAUUUGAUUUAGUGUUGUUUAGGAUGGUUUCUAAAAAAGAUCAAGUUCCUAUCACAAAUUGUUCUGUUUAGAAUUCUACACUAGGUUUCCCUAAGCAUUCCUCAAGUGAUAAAAAUGCAAGUUAUGAAGAAGGGACACACAGGAACUAGAAGCACUUGUCAGUGUUUUAGUUCUGGUGGUUGAUUCAUGUUAUAUAUAGAAAGAAUAUACACAUUAUGUGAGAAAAGGCCAAGGAAGGACCGAUAAUGCGAGUGGAAUACAUUCUGAAAUGUGUUUUAUGAUCAAAGUAUCUGUGACCUACAGCGGUCCACUACAAAGAGGGAUUUAAGUGUUUACAUCUGUAGGAAUGCCUACAGAUAGAUUUCAGUGAUAUUCAGGAAUCAGGUUCUCAGUCCUUGGUGCUUCAUGGAUUUUGAUUUUGUUGUUAUUCAAUAAGUGAAAGAAUAAACAAAUAUGUCAAUGUAUAACAAUGAAUAGAAUGAAGUGUAUCUAACUACGAAAAUAUGGAGUGAGGCAAGAAUUAUUGUUAAUAUACGUAGAACCACUGGAGUUCAUCAAAUAAUGAUAUCUUUACCCCAAUAUGUAACCCCUUAAUGCAUGAAAGGGGUUACAUUUUGGGAUAAGGUUAAGUAGGCAAGGUAGUGAUGUAUAGUAGUCAGGGUGCUUGCUUUGAGUCUGUGACAAGUUCAAGUGGUUACUUACUGCAGAGGGAAAAAGAUAAAUUAUGCCAUAAAAUAAUAAAUAUCUAAAUGAUUGAGGAAAUGAAAUGGGGAAGGCAUGUAUCAGUGGAAAGAAUAUCUCAGCUUUCUAUUAUUUGCAUUGCUUAUAUUUCUCAGAAUGAAAGCUCCUAGCACAUUCUCCUGUGGUCAUGAACUCUGUGUUAGGAGCAUAGAAACCAAUGUAAGAGUCAAAGCACUUCUCUUAUUAUGAGUGGUUUGUUUAAAAAUACUCACUGUACUAUUUACAAAACAUGUUAAGGUUAGUCAAAGAAGUUGAUUAUGGUGUACUAUGGCAUUGAUGUGAAAUGUAUGUUCAUUAAUGGAUAUGUACAACACAAAUUAAUUAAUGAAGGUUAUAGAUACUGAGUGAAUUUACUCUGUAGACAAUUGUUAUGGAUAUUUAAGAAUAUUGUUCUAUGGAAUUUGUGAUUCAUACACAUUUAUAUUAUUGUAAUUAUUCUAUUGAAGAACUAAUAAAUCAACAAAUAUAGAAAUGGAUGAGGAAAAAGAUGUCAAAUCCUGAACCAGUGGUGAUGGCUGGUGGCAUAUUUAGUCACAGAUGAUGAAUAAAUACAUGCCUGAAACUCUGAGGUUAGUACCUAGACAGAGAUCUAGUCUGUUAUUUUUGAUGGAUGUAGUCCUGUAGAAUGAUUAGUUAUGCACGAAGGUAAUGUUCUUGGGCUUUUGUAGUUUAUGAAUUUUGAUUGUAUUGUUACAAAACAAUUAAUGACAAAGUUUAUACAACUGCGUGAAGAUGAAGACGGUGAAACAUUGUCCAAUUAUGAAAUAUGAGGUGAGGACUGAAAUACUAUUAAUAUAAUUUGAAAGUCCUAAGGUCCAUAAGUAAAUAAGUGUCACCUCUUUGGUACAGUAUCAUAUAGACCAGGGGUCCCUGACCUCAGGGCUGCAGACCAGUACCAGUGCCUGGCGUGUUAGGAACCAGGCCACACAGCAGGAGGUGAGUGGCGGGCGAGCAAGCAUUACCACCUGAGCUCCAUCUCUUGUCAGAUCAGUAGUGGCAUAAAUUAGAUUCUCGUAGGAGCAGAACCUGUUGUGAACGGUGCGUGCCAGGGAUCUAGGUCACAUGCUACUUAUGAGAAUCUAAUUCCUAUGAUCUGAGGUAGAACAGUUUCAUCUGGAAACAACCCCUCCCUGGCCUGGUCCAUGGGAAGUUUGUCUUCUACAAAACCCAUCCUGGGUGCCCAAAAUGUUGGGGACCACUGGUGUAGACAGUGAGAAGUAACAGUUAAUGUUAUUGUUCUGCAUCAAUGGCAAGUACCAUCCUGUCCUAUUUUUAGAAAAGACAAAUAAUAACAUCAAUUAGUAAAUAUUUAUGUGACUAAAUAAAUGAAAGUUUGAAAGCCAUUGUGAAUGGAGAGAAUGUCUCAAUUUUUUAAUCACUGGUUCUCCUUUGUAUUCCUAAAGGUGGAAGCUGUCUGCAGUAGGAGCAUGGAGACCAAUAAUGGAUGCUCUUAAACUGAUUUAAGCAUGCUUCCAUGGUCACAAGCCCUAUGGUUGCCACGGGGCAUUAGGAGCAUGGAGACCAAUAAUGAACCUAAUUGUACUGUUUUAAGAAUUCUUCCAUGGUCCUCUGUUUGCACCAUGCUUAGGAAGGAGCAUGCGGACCCAGGGACUUAUUAGUGAGUUAACAAGUCAGUCAGUAGACAAGAUAGAAAUGAGUGGAAAAGGAGAUGAUCAGUCCUGGAUCGAUGAUGACUGCUGGUGGCGUAUGAGUCUUACAUGAUGAAUACGUGUCUGGAACUCUGAGGUCCAUCACAAAAGAAACUGGGCUCCUUCUGUAGUUUGAAAUGAUCCUAUGUAUAUAGAUGUCAGAGAUACAGAAUUUAUUUGUUUUUGGUCUUUGUUUUUACUUAUUUUCAUUGUAUUUUUAUAGUUGCUCAAUGUGAGAACCUAUAUAUAUAUAUAAUUUCCAUAUAUUACAUAAAAAGAUGAAUAAUGUUAAUCAUUGCCCAAUUAUUAAAAUCUGUAGUGAGGCAAGAAACAUUUCAUAUGUAUUGAAAACAUGGAGUCCAAAGAGAAAUAAAUGGGACAUGCCUGUCACCUCUUUGGCCAAUGAUGAUAUAGCCAGUAUAAUUAUAGACAGUGUUCAAAUUCUUGGCCAGUAGCAAGAUCGAAUUUGUUAAUUUUCUUAACAGAAAAUGAAAUUACUACGAUUAAUGAAAUGAAAUUUUCUUAACAGACAAUGAAAUUAAUAUGAAAUCCAAAUAAUGAUUGCAUAAAUGGCUAAUUAUAGGUGAAAAGCAAGAAUCAAUGGUGACAAUGUCUCAAAUUUGUUAUCAUCUUCUCUGUACUCAUCAGAAUGGAUGUCCUUGUUCUAAUUUGAGGAUGCCUCCAAGGUCAUGUACUCUGUUUGCACCAUGCUUAGGAAGCAGCGUGCAGACCAAUGUGAAUAAUAGUCAAAGUCCUUACCUUGGUUUGGGUGGUUUGUUUAAGAGUAAUCAAUGUAUUAUUUAAAAACGUGAAAUACAGUCAAAGAUGGCCAAUGUUAUUCCAGUGACACAGGAGUGACAUGAAGUAUUAUAUUGAUGAUGCAUAUACAUAAAACAGGAUAGUUAAUGAAACACACCAGUGUUUGAGUGAUUCUGUAUACUGAUGUGGAGUAUCAAGAGUGUUACUGAGUUUUGUGAAUCAUGGGCCUUGAAAGUAUUAUUAGUGAAUGAAUGACUUAAUCAAUAGACAAGGUAGAAAUGAAUAGCAAAAAAAGAUUGACCCUGAGUCAGUGAUGACUACUGGUAGUGUAUGAGUUAUAUAUGAUGAAUACAUAUCUGGAACUCUGAGGUCCAUCACAAAAGAAAUCUGGCCCAUUCCUUUUGAUUCAGAUGAUCCUAUGAAUAUGCAAUGUGUUUGCUUUUGGUCUUUGGAUUUGUUCACUUCAUUGUAUUAUUAUAAUUGGAUCAAUGAACUAAUUUAUACAUAUACAUGUACAUAUAUGAAGGGGAUGAAGUAUUGUCCAAUUAUAAAAUAAAUGGUGAGGCAAGAUGUACUAUUAUUUUUAUAUUAAAGCAUUAUAUUAAAGCUUUAAUAUAUUAAAUAAAUAUCUAAUAUUAAUGCAUAAUAAAUGCAAUAUUUAAUAUACAUUAAAUAUAAUAAUAUAUUAAAAUAUUAUAUUAAAGCACUGAAGUCCCAAGAGAAAUAAAUGUUACACCACUGUAACUUCUUUGACUAAGGAUGAUACAGAUGGUAUUUAUAGAUAAUGGUCAACCUCAGGGUCAAGGAAAGUUGCACAAGGUGUUCAUUUUCUUAAGAGAAAAUGAAAUAAGUAUCCUUCAGAUAAUGAUUUCUCAAAUAUCUUCCUAAAGGGAAGAUGAUAAACACAGAUCAAGGAGGACUGUUUAAUCUGUUUGUGAUGUGCUCUGCAUUGUGGCCUCAGGAUGGAUGUUUGCCAGCCGAUUCCAUGGUUACAAGCUCUACAGCUGCAUCUAUGUUAGGAGCAUGAAGACCAAUAAUGGAUGCACUGAGCUGAUUAUGAAUUUAGCCCUGAUCAAGACUUGUGUUGCUGUCGUGCUAUGAAAGAUUCCAGUGUGAGUAAUAGCCACGAUCUUGUGUUGUUUGGGUGGUUUGUUUAAGGAUAUUUACUGUGUCACUGAAAAUUUUAAAAAGUCAGAUAAUAUGUAUAUAUAUAUAAUGAAUGUCAAUUAUAGACUUGAAUUAUGGGAACCAUAAACUUUUAUAAUUAUUACACAUGAAUUACUGAAUUAAUCAACGAAUAAUGUCUAACUGAAUGAAGAGAAAGUGGGCCCUUCCUGGACCAAUGAUGAUAAAUACCGGCGUAUGAGUCUUGGAUGAUGAAUAAUACAUGUCUGGAACUCUGAGGUCCAACACAAAAGAAAGCCAGUUUUUUCCGCUCAUGUAUUUUCACUCUGUUAUUAUAAUUGGAUCAAUAAAAGAAUCAAUGAACAAAUAUAUAACUAAAUAAAGAUGACUCGUGUGAAGCAUUGUCCAAUUAUAAAAAUAGAUGAUGUGGCAAGAAAUAAUAUUAAUAUAUACUGGAAACUCUGAACUUCAAAGAGAAAUAAAUGGUACAUGAUUGUUAAAUCUUUGGCUAAGUAUGAUGUAGACAGUAAUAGGUAAAUAUCUGUGUUCAUUUUCUGGGUCAGUGGCAAGAUUGACAUUGUUAGCCUACAUAGGAGAAAAAUAAACAUUAUUACAAAUUACUAAUUAUGUAUGACUGAAUACCUGAAAAGAGGAAUUGAAGGACCAGUGGAAAGAAUGUUACAACCUUUUAAAAUCAUCUGCUCUGCUCUGUGAUCCUCAGAAUGAAAGCACUUGAGUUGAUUCAAGCACUCUUCUAUGGUCAUGAUCUCUGUGGUUGCCUCUGUGUGUUAGGAGCAUACAGACCAAUAUGGAUCAGAAUGAAUGCAUCAAGUGGGCUUAAGCAUUCUGCUUGAUGGAAAGCUGUAUUGCUGUUGUGUUUGGAAAGAAACUAACGUGAGUAAUAGCCAAAAUUUUGGUCUUCCUUUGGGUACUUGACUAAAGGUAUUCAUAGUAUUAUUAAAAAUUUUAAAUUAUUAUAAAGUUAACCAUGGCCCAAUGGUUAAAAUAAUAUAGAACAGUAUGUUUAUUAAUCAAUAAUGUGCCACAUAGAGGUGAAUGAAUGAAAGUGACAUUGUCUAAUGUGGAAAGGAUUCUGUAGACAGACGCUUGGUAUGUCUGGCAUCAUGUUCAUAGGUUUUUGUGAAUCAUGUUCUUACUUUACUCUUAUAAGUUGAUUAAUGAUUUAUUCAAAACAAAAGUAGAAAUAUAUGAAAAUUGAGACCAAUGAUGGCGUGAGCCAUAUACAAUGAGUUAGACAUGUCUGGACUUUGAUGUCCAACACAAAAGACAUAUAGUCUAUAUUCUUGAUAUAAGGCAUCCUCUAGGCCCAUGUUGAGAAUAUCCAAGGAUCUUGCGCUUGAUCUUUGGGUUCAUAUAUUUUCAUUCCAGUAUUAUAAUUGGAUCAAUGAAAUAACCAAUCAAUAAGUAAAUUAAUGAAGUAUUGUUCAAAUUAAAAAUAUGUAGUGAGCAAAGAAACACUACUAAUAUAUUAUGAAAACACUGAACUCUAAUUUGAAAUAAUUUUACAUGACUUUUACCUCCUUAGCUCAGAAUGGUGUAGAUGGUAUAAGUUACAGACACUGUUCAUGUUCUGGACAGAUGGCGAUUUUGAAUUUGUUCAUUCUCUUAAGAGAAAAAAAUACUCGAAAUGUGUGAUUACUGAAAUGACUGACUGAAGGUGAAAAGCAAGGAUCAGUGGAGAGAAAGUCCCAGAUGUCUGUUCUCCUUCUUCGUUUUAAAAUCAUCUGUUCUGUCCUGUAUUUCUCACACUGGACCCAUCUGAGCUGAUUUAAGAAUUCUUCCAUGGUUAUGACUGUAUGAUUGAAUCUCUAUUAAGAGCUUGGAGACCAAUGUGAGUAAGAGUCAAAAUUUUUGUCAUGGCUUGGGUGGUUUGUUUAAGGAUGUUCACUAUAUUUUUAAAAGUGUGAAAUAUAAUCACAAAAGGCCUAAUGUAAACAUCAUGAUUUGGGAUUAACAUGAAUCAUUAUACUGAUUAAUACAUAUAUGAAAAACUGAGGAUAAAUAAUAAAAUUUAAAUACUGAUUUGUGAAUAAUGAUGGAUACCUAACAAAUAGGUAUGCUUUUGUUGGAGGUUUGUGAAUCAUCAGCUUUAAAAAAUAUUAUCGGUGAAUUUAUGAAUUAAUCAAUAAACAAUGUUGUAAAGAAUGAAGAGAAAGUGGGCCUUCCUGGACCAAUGAUGACAAUUGCCGGCGUAUGAGUGUUGGGUGAUGAAUAAUACGUGUGUAGAACUCUGAGGUCCAACAUACAAAACACCUCAAUAAGCAAGGAUCAGUGGAGGAAUAUCUAAUUUAAAAAAAACAUCUUCUUUUUUUUUGUACUCCUCAGAGUGAUAAUCUCGAGGUGAUUUAUGCAUUCUUCCGUGGCCACCAGCCUUAUGGUUGCAUCUCUGUGUUAGAGCUUAGAGAUCAAUGUGAGUAAUAGUCAAAGUUCUUGGUGUGGUUUAGGUGGUUUAAGGUAUUCACUGCAUUACUAAAAAGUAUCAAAUAUAGUCACAUAAGGCCCGCUGUUACAAAUGACACAUAUGAAGCAUUAUAUUGAUUAAUACAUGUGUGAAAAGCUGAGGAUAAUUAAAGCAGGAGAUACAUGGAGAUGAGAUGAUAAUAUGUACAGAUUAAGAAUAUCAAGGCUGUUCUUGGGGUUUUGUGAAUCAUAGGGUUUUGAUUUAUUGUUAGUGAACUAAUGAUUAAGUCAACAGACAACAUAGAAAUGAAUGGAGAAAAGGAGGCCCAAUCCUGGAUCGAUGAUGACCACUGGUGGUGUAUGAGUCAUACAUGAUGAAUUAUGUGUCUGGAACUCUGAGGUCCUUCACAAAAGAAAUUGGGUCUUUUUUUUCAUUCUUUCUUAUGUUAUUAUUAUGACUGGGUCAAUGAAAGAAUCAGUAAACAAAUAUAUAAAUGAAUCAAGGUAAAAUGGGGGAAACGUCUAAUUAUAAAAAUUUGUAGUGAGGCAAGGAAUUUUGUUAAUAUGUGUAGAAAACACCAAAAUCCAAAGAGAAGUAAAUGGUGCAUAAUGGUUUAUUUUGGCAAAGGAUGAUAUGGACAGUAUUAAUUAGGUAAUGUUUUUGUUCUGGGUCAGUGGCAAGUUCAAAAUUGUUCAUUUUAAGAGAAAAGGAAAUAAAUAUACUCCAAGUAAUGAUUGCCUGAAUUAAUGACUAAAUGGAAGAUGAUAAGCAAGGAUCAAUGCAGGAUUUUCUCAUUUUUUAAUCAUCUGUUUUGCUCUGUACUCCUCAGAAUAGAUGCUUUAGAGGUGAUUCAAUCUCUCAUCCCUGCUCACCAGCAUGUUGGUUGCAUCUCGUUUUGGAGUAUGAAGGCCAAUAUGAGUAAUAGUCAAUGUUCCUGUCUUUGUUGGUGUAGCUUUUUAAAAAAGAUAUUUCCUAUGUUAUUAAAAUGUGCUAAAUAUAACCAAAGAGGCCCAAACAUGCCAAUUUUACUAUCAGAUUGAUAGACGUAUUAUAGUGAUUGGUCAAUAUAUGGACCAAAGAAGAUCAUUACCAUGGAAGACAGUAUGAAGAGAUUUAGUCUGUGGAAAUGAAUCUAUAGAUGAAUGUUAGGAAUCUUUAUGAAUACUAUUCUUGUGUUUUCUGACUGAUGUGUAUUUAUUAUUAAUGAAUUAAUCAAUGGAUAAAUUUGUAUUAGUGUGAAAUCAAAGAGAUCCUGGACCAAUGAUGACAACUGGUGUGAGUCAUGCAUAAUGAAUACCAUGUAUCUGGAACUCUGAGGUCCAACACAAAUGGCAUCUAAUCCAUUCCCCAUUUCGAAGGGAUCUUAUGCACAGAUGUCAGAAUCUAUGAGGAUGUUGUUGUUGAUAUUUUUGUUCAUGAAUUUUAAAAAUAUUAUUGUAAAUGAAUCAAGGACAGAAUAAAUAAACAAAUGUAUAAAUUAAUAGAGAUGAAGAGGGUGAAGCAUUGUUUAUUACUAAACUUCAGAGUAAGGAAAAUGAAUAUUAAUAGAAAUGGAAUGAGUAAUAAGUUGAUCAAGGAUAUUAUGUCUUGAACUAAGGAUGACACAGUUCUUGCUGUCAGUUGCAAGUUUUGAAGUUUAUUAUGUGAAAAAUAUAUAAAUAUUAGCAUAAAUUAGUAAAAGCCUAAAAGGCAGUGCUAACAAAUGGUAAACAACGUGGAUUAAUGGAGAGAACAUCUCAAUGUUUUUCUGUGCUUUCUACUCUUCAGAAUGGAUGCAGCAAGCUGUUUCAACCAUUCUGUUGGGAUCAAGAUUGUUGUGUUGCCUCUGUGUUUGGAAAGAGACCAAGAAUGAACACGCUCAGGUGAUUUAAGCACUCUUCCAUGGCUACGAGCUCUGUGGUUGCCUCUGUAUAUUAAGAGCACAGAGAUUAAAGUGAGUAAUGACUGACAUUCUUUUCUUGGUUUCAAUAUUUCUUUUAUCUUAAGAUUAUUCACUAUAUUAUUAAAAAGCAUGAAAUAUAAUGAAUGCAAUUAUAACUCAGUAAUAAAUAUGAGAUGUAUGAAAUAUUAUAUCCAUUAAUGCAUGUAUUAAAAAUAGGAUAAUUAAUGAAACUGUUAUGUUGAUGUUAGAAUAAUUCUAUAUAGAAAUUAGGGAUAUAAGGACUCUUCUUGAGUUUUUGUGAGUAGUAACACUAUAAUUGUAUGAUAUAAUGAAUUAAUCAAUAAACAAAUGUAGGUGACAGUAGAGUAAAAGGGCCAAUCCUAGAUCAAUGAUGACUACUGGUGGCGUAUGAGUCAUAUACGAUGAAUACGCGUCUAGAACUCUGAGAUCCAAUGUGAAAGGAUGUAAUUCAUUUACUCUGGUUGAAGUGAUGCUGUAGCCAGUUGUCGCGACUAUACAAGGAUCUUGGUUUUGGUCUUCAUGCUAUACAGAGAAUGUCUUUUGUUUUUUUUUGCCAUUUUCUCUGAUUUGUAUUUCUCGGAAUGGACCCACUCAAGCUGACUUGAGAAUUCCUCCUUGGUCACAAGCUUUUGGGUUGCAUGUCUGCAUUAGGAGCCUAGAGAACAAUGUGAGUAAUAGCUAAAGUUCUUGUCUUGUUUUGCAUGGUUUGUUUAUGGGCAGUCACUAUAUUAUUAAAAAGUGUGAAAUAUAAUCAAAGAAGGUGAGCUGUAGCUUAGUAAUAAGCAUGGGAUUAAUAUGAGGUAUUAUAUUUUUUAAUGUGUACAUGAAAUACUACAAUUAUUAUUAACAUUAAGAGAUAUUGAAGUGAGAAUGAUUUUAAGUACAUGUUAGGGAUAUAAAUCUCUUGAAUUUUUGUGAAUCAGAGUUUUAAAAUUAUAAUUAUUAAAUCAAUAAAUAACUUAGAAAUGAAUUGAGUAAAAGUGGGCCCUUCCUGGAUCAAUGAUGAAACUUGCCAGCAUAUGAGUCUUGGAUAAUGAAUGAUAUGUGUGUGGAACUCUGAGGUCCAACACAAAAAGAAAAGUGAUGUUUUUUUCCAUGCACUUUCAUUCUAUUAUUAUAAUCAGAUCAAUAAAAGCAUCAAUGAACAAAAGUAUAAGUAAAUCGAGAUAAAAUAGAUGAGGCAUUAUCCAAAUAUAGAAAUAUGUGGGAAGGCAAGAAGUAUUAUUACUAUACAUUGAAAUCAUGAAAUUCAAUGAGAAAUUAAUGGUAUGUGACUUUUACCUCUUUGGCUAAUGAUACACAGACAGUUUAAAUUAUAGGCAAUGUUCAUGCUCUGAGUCUGCGGCAAAUCUGAAGUUGUUCGUUGUUAGAGAAAAUGUAAUAUCCUCCCAAGGAAUGUUUGCCUUAAUUACCGGCUGAACGGUGGACACAAAGCAGGGAACCAUGGCCAUAACGUCUCAAAUUUUUAAUCAACAGUCCUACUUUGUGCACCUCAGAAUGGGCUCACUUGAGUUGUCUCAAGCACCCCUUCAUGCCCACAGGCUGUACGGUUGCAUCUGUGUGUUAGGAGCUUGGAGUCCACUAAUGAGUGCGCUUGAGCCGAUUGAAACAUUCCUCCUUGCAUCUUUGUUCUAUGAUUGCAUCUAUUUGUUAGUAGCACAGAGACCAAUAAUGGACAUCGUUGUUCUGUCUUGAGAAUUCCUCUAGGGUCACAUGCUCUGUUUGCACCGUGCUUAGGAAGGAACCUGCAGACCAAUGUGAGUAAUGGUCAGAGUCCUUAUUGUGGUUUGGGUGGUUUGUUUAAGAGUAAUCAAUGUAUUAUUAAAAAGUGUGAAAUAUAGUCAAAGAUGGUUAAUGUUAUCCUGAUGGUAGACAUGGCAGUGACAUGAAGUAUUAUAUUGAUAAUGGAUGUAUGAAAAACUGAGGAUAAUUAAUGAAACAGAUAAUAUCAAUGUUAGAAUGAUUCUGGAUACAGAUCAGAAAUAUCAAGGCUGUUCUUGGAGUUUUUCGAAUCAUAGGCUUUGAAAUUAUUAUUAGUAAAUUAAUGAGGCAACCAACAGACAAUGUAAAACUGAAUGGAGAAAAGGAGGGCCAAUCCUGGAUCAAUGAUGACCACCGGUGGCGUAUGAGUCAUAUGUGAUGAAUACGUGUCUGGAACUCUGAGGUCCGCCACAAAAGAUAUCUAGUCCAUUCGCUCUGUUUUACGUGAUUCUAUAGACUGAUGUCAGGAAUAUAGAAUGAAGUUGUUUUGGUUUCAUUUUCAUUCUAAUGCAAGAAUCAAUAAACAUAUAAAUAAAGAUAAAAUAGGGGAGCAUUGUACAACUAUAAAAAUACGUGUUGAGGCAGGAAAUACUAUUAAUGUAUAUUGAAAUUGGUGAAGUCCAAAGAGAUAUUGUACAUACCUGUUACCUCUUUGGCUUAUAAUAAUAUAGACAGAAUAAAUUAUAGAUAAUGUUCAAAUUCUUAUUCACUUGCAAGAUCAAAUUGUUCUUUUUCUUAGGAGAAAAUGAAAUAAAUAUUAGUCCACCUAAUGAAUGCCUAAAGGACAGAUUAAAGGCAAGGUGAAAAGCAAGGAUCAUUAAUGAGAAAGUCUCAGUUUUGUUACCGUCUCUGCUCUGUAUUCCUCAGAAUAGAUGGCCUGUGCCGACGGAAGGAUUCCUCCCUGGUGACGUGGUGUGUCUGCCUCUUGAUUGGGAGCAGGCAGACCAAUAAUGAUGCACUUGUUAUGAUUUGAGAAUUCCUCCAUGGUCACGUGCUCUGUUUUUAUCAUGGUUGGGAGCCUACAGACCAAUGUGAGUAGUAAUAAACAUUCUCAUCUUGGCUUGAAUGGUUUGAAUGGUUUGAGAGGACUCGAUAUUAUCAAAAUAUCGGAUUGUCUUGAAUCCCUGACCUCAAGUGAUCCGCCCACCUCAGCCUCCCAAAGUGUUGGGAUUACAGGCAUGAACCACAGCAUCUGGCCAGAAGCACUCUUGAUAUCUUUUGACACAGUGAAGUCCACAGAGAUAUAAAUGGCAUCUUCUGGUGACCUCUGUGGCUAAUGAUGGUAUAGACAGUACAAAUUAUAGAAAACAUUCAAUUUCUGGGUCAAUGGCAAUUUCAGAAUUAUGCAUUUCUUUAGAUAAAAUAAUAUACUGCAAAUAAUGACUGCCGAAAUGACUGACUAAUGAUAGGUGAUAAGAAAGGGUCGGUAGUGACAAUAUCAAAAUAGGAUAAUAGGAUAAUAUCAAAUAUAUUUAAUAUUUGAUAAUAAAUAUAUUUUUUAUAUUUAAAAUAGGAUAGUAUAAAAAUAGAGGAUAGGAUAGAUAAUAGGAUAAUAUGGAAAUAGAGGAUAACAAAAGUUAUCUUCUUCUCUGCUCUGUAUUCCCUGGAAUGAUUGCACUUUGCUGAUUGAGGGAUUCCUUCAAGGCCAUGUGCUCUACUUGCACCGUUUUUGGGAUGGAGCCUGGAGACCUAGAGUGAACAACUUGUGCUAUGUUAAGGAUUCCUCCAUGAUCACGUGCCCUGUUUGUACACCAUGCUUGGGAAGAUGCAUGCAGACCAAUAAUGGACAUACUUGUGAAGAUUUAAAGAUGCCUCCAAGGUCACGUGCUCUGUUUGCACCAUGCUUAGGAAGGAGCAUACAGACCAAUAAUGGAUGAAUUGUGCACCUUGAAAAGUUCUUCCCUGACCACUUGAGGCACUUGCAUCACGGUUAGGCUCAGGCAGACUAAUAAUGGACGUACUUAUUCUGAUUUGAGGACUUCUUCAUGGGCACGUGUUCUAUUUGCACCAUGCUUAGGAAGGAGCAUGUGUACCAAUAAUGGAAGCACAGAAGCUGGUUUUCACUGGUUAAGAGCUAUCUCUGUGCUAGAAGCUGGACACCAAUAUCCAUGAUUGCAUCUAUGUGUUACAUGGUGUAUGGAGACCAAUGUGAGUGACAGUCAACGUUCUUGGUUUCAGUGUUUUUUAAAAAAGAUAUUCGUAGUAUUAUUAAGAAGUAGAAGUGUUAAAUAUAAUCAUUGAAGGUAAGCUUUGGCCCAUUCGUAAAAAUAGGAUUAAUAUAAAGCAUUAUGUUGAUUAAUGCAUAUAUAUAAAACAUUGAAUUUAAUUAAUGAAAGAGAUGUAUUGCUGUGAGUAGUAUUGACAGAGACAGAUAUUAGAGCUAUUUAAGGAUUUUACUCUCAAGUUUUUGUGGCUCUAAGGUAAUUAUUUUAUUGUUAGUGAACUGAUAAGUUAAUCAAUAAAAACACGUAGACAUGAAUUAAGAAAACGAGGUCCAAGCUUGAGCCGGUGAUGACAGCUGGUGGCGUGUGAGUCAUGGAUGGUGAGUACUAAGUGCCUGGAACUCUGAGGUUCAAUAUAAUAGAAAUCUAAUCUAUUCCUCUGUUGAAAAAAAUCCUUUAGAUAGAUGUUAGUGAUAUUGAGGGCUAUUUGCUUCCAAUUUUACAGUUCAUUGAUUAUGGUUGUAUUAAUAUAAAUGAAUUAAUGAAAGAAUCAAACAAAGAUUUAAAUGAUUAAACAUGAAGAGAGAGAGGGGCAUAUUCUAAUUGUUAACAUAUGUGGCAAGGAAAGAAAUACUAUUAAUUAAUUUGGAAUGGAUAAUAAAUGGGCCAUCGGUUUUAACUCUCUGGCUAAGAAUCAUAGAGCCAUUGAUAGAGCAGUAACACUGAUUAUUAGUUAUCAAUGGCUAUGUGAUUUUUUAGGUCAAUUCGCAGGUCAACUGGGUCAAUUGUAAGUUCAAUAUUUAUUUUAUUAAGGGGAAAAUAAGCAAAUAUUAACAUAAAUCAAUAAAUACCAUCUGACAGAGUAAAUGGAAGGUAGAAUGAAAAAACUAAUGGAUAGAAAGUCUCACAUUUUGUCUUCUGCUCUUCCUUGUAAUCCUCAGAACAGUCACUUCCUGCACUGAUUCUGCCAUGAGCACUUGCUCUAUGGCUGUUUUAAGGAACCUGCAGACAAAGAAUGGAUUAUCAUUGGUGAAGACCUUGGCUGGAUGGAUAGACCAGAGCUGAUUAAAUUAUUCUUCCAUGAUGAGGAACUUUACCUUAUCCCUCGGAGUAAGGAGAAUGUCAUGCAAUAGCACAUCAGGUCGUCCUGCCCAGAGCCUGUGAAGGUGCAGUGGCCUGAGCCAGGCUUCCAAGAGGACAACCGUGAUGGGCUCAGCGUGUGCGUUGCUGGGUAAGCUCUGCUUUUCCUGGUUACACUCGGAAAUACUUGUGUACCUGUGACUAAGGGCCAAACUCGGACUAGAUGAUAGGCGAUCAAAGAUGGGCUUUGUGACAGGCUGGAGUGCCUGCGAUGGCCUCAGAGAGGGGCUGGAAUGCAUGUGCUUCUCACCAAGAACAUUAGCAAGCAGAGGCUGGGUCAUUUCUAACAGCUGCUUCUCUGAGUGGAGGGAAGGGCUGGCUAGAGAAGUCCCUCAUCUCUGGUCCCACCUAAGAGGUGGGAGUCAUGUUACUUUGCAGCUGACCAGAUGCAAGCUUGAGAUGGGGCCCAGGGUAACCUUCACAUCCCUGCCCGAAGGCUCUUUUAAAAAUUAUGUAGCUAAUUGCAUUCUAUUAACUCAUUACCGUAAUGGAGAGUGCAAUAAGCAGGGGUCAUGUAUGUUUUCCCCAUAAAAUAACCUAAGCUAAUGACUGACAUUUAUUGCACAUAAUUUUUAAAAAUAUUUUUCCCAUUAAAAAAUAAAUAUAUGUUUAUUAUACAGAGCUUGAAAAAUAUUGAAAAGAACAAGUGUAAGAGCAAGACUCUCCCUAGUUCCCCCACUCACAGAUCACCAUUGCCAACAUUUUGGUGGCCAGCCUCAGCCUUUUGUUUUUUUCUAUAAAUUAGGUGUGUACGUGUCUGUGUGUGCUUAAUUGAGUUUAUCAUUGCCAUCUUGUCUUCCAUUUCCACUAAUUAUAUAUCCUGAACAUUUCCCAAGCCAUUAAGCAAUUUCUUAUCUUGUGCUUUUUAAUGGUUACAUAGGGUUCUAGCAAAUGGCUCUAUUGUAAUUAAUUGGUUUGCUUUUAUUGAAUAUUUAGAUCCAUUUAGAAGUUGAAUUGCGCAAAUCGGGAAGGACAUCUUUGUUUAUUCAUCGUCAUAUACGUGUCUGGCUCACUUUCUGCAGUUCAUUCUGUGUCAAAAGGUGUGAGCGUUUUAUGGCCAAAUUGCCCUCUUAAAGCUUGUAUCAACUUACAUUCUCAGAAUUAGUUUGAAAAGUGCCUGUUUCUCUGGGAAUUAUCAAGGUUGUUCACCUUUGCCAAUUUGUCAAAACACAGUAUUUCGUUCUUUUCGUUGGCAGUUCUUUUAUUACCUGUGAUAAAAGACAUUUCCCCCUGUCUCUUUUGGUUAUCUGUAUCUGAAUUGCCAGUUCAGGUUUUUUUUUCAUUUUUCAUUUAGUUUUUACUUUUGUCAAAGUCAUGCAUAUGCAUCGUUUAAGAGUCAGAUGGUUGUAGAGCAGCAGGCUUCCAACUCCACCCUAAUUUUCUGCUUAACGGAAGCAAUAGUUUUUAACUCCUUUAACUGAUUCUCUUGACAUUUACAUCCGAAUAUCUAAGUAACAUUGUUUUUCUCUUCUACUUCUUGAUUUUCUUUUUCUUUUUUGAGGCUUAGGCAUUAUCGUGACUUUACAACUGUAGAAGAUGAGGAUUUGACUCCUUGGCCUCACCGCCCCCUCCUCCCUUCUUUCUGUGCACCAUCCUCAAUAUAUUUAGUACGUAGUUCGGGCUUGAUCCAAAUUCAGAGUUCACCUUUUUAUGAGAGUGUAAGCACUCCUGAAAUCUGAGCGUUAGCACUACAAUUUACCUUUCCUUCACGACUAUUUUUUCUCUUGGAGUUAGUAAUUAUCUUGUAUUUUUUUUCUCUUUGAUUGGUUAGUUUUUUUGUGAGCCUAGCUGAUUUAUCCCUAGCCUGUCAAUAUAUUCAAACACAUUAUUUUUAAUUUUUUAAAAAAUGUGUUUUAUACUAUCUAGAAAUGUCUUCCCAGAGCCUUCUGGCCGGUUUUGUUAUGAACUGGGUGAUCUUUAGGGUUCUGGAUACCAUCUUGGAAUAUCUUUCACAUUCUCCUUCUGAGGAUUCCUUUGAUCCUCUCUCUUUAGCUGGAUUUUGUAGAUUGCCUACUUUUGUAGAUUCCAUGUUAUCAUCCUUUUUGGUUUACUCCUUUGUUUUGCUAGAGUGCAUCCUCUAGCAGUUUCUGUAGAAAUGCUUAAUGGAAGGUAAAUUUUUAGAGCUCUUUCACAUCUAAAAAGGAAAAUAUCUAGCCCACACUGACAUUGAAAGAUUGGCUGAGUAUAGAAUUCAACGUUAGAAACUUUUUUUUUUAAAUUUUGGCUCAGAUUUUGAAAGAACAAAUCAUUAUCUUGUGGCUUUCAGUGUUAUUGGUGAGAUGUCUUAAGUCUUUGUGAUUCCUCAUGCCUUCUAUGUGAAUUUUUUUUCUUCCUUUCUGGAACUUGUAGAACUUUCUUGUUGUCUUCCAAUGUUUUAAAAUGUCAUGUGUUUGUGUAUUGAUGUACAUCUGUGUUUAUCCAUUUUUCCAGGUUCUUUUAGCCUGAAGACACUUGUCCUUCAGUUCUAGAAACUUGUCUUGAACAACUGGUUGGAUCAUUUCCUCAUACUUGUUUUCUCUUCCUAGCAUUUCCUUCUUUUUUUUCUUUCUUUUCUUUUCUUUUUAUUUUCUCCCCCCAACCCUUUUUUUUUUUUUUUUUUUUUUGA